AAACUUUCAACAACGGAUCUCUUGGCUCUGGCAUCGAUGAAGAACGCAGCGAAAUGCGAUAAGUAAUGUGAAUUGCAGAAUUCAGUGAACCAUCGAAUCUUUGAACGCACAUUGCGCCCGCCAGUAUUCUGGCGGGCAUGCCUGUUCGAGCGUCAUCAA
rnacentral:rRNA from 1 species